AGAGCUAGCCUACGGGAGCAGCAGUGAGGAAUAUUGGUCAAUGGGCGCGAGCCUGAACCAGCCAAGUCGCGUGAGGGAUGACGGUCCUACGGAUUGUAAACCUCUUUUGCCGGGGAGCAAGCGUGCGUUCGUGAACGCACGUCGAGAGUACCCGGAGAAAAAGCAUCGGCUAACUCCGUGCC
rnacentral:rRNA from 1 species